rnacentral:rRNA from 1 species
UACGGAAGGCAGCAAUGGGGAAUAUUGCACAAUGGGCGAAAGCCUGAUGCAGCUAUGCCGCGUGUAUGAAGAAGGCCUUAGGGUUGUAAAGUACUUUCAUCGGGGAGGAAAAAACAAAACUAAUAAUUUUAUUUCUUGACGUUACCCGAAAAAGAAGCACCGGCUAACUCCGUGCCAGCAGCCGCGGUAAUACGGAGGGUGCUAGCGUUAAUCAGAAUUACUGGGCGUAAAGAGCACGUAGGUGGUUUUUUUAAGUCAGAUGUGAAAUCCCUGGGCUUAACCUAGGAACUGCAUUUUGAAACUGAAAUACUAGAGUAUCGUAGAGGGAGGUAGAAUUCUAGGUGUAGCGGUGAAAUGCGUAGAUAUCUGGAGGAAUACCUGUGGCGAAAGCGGCCUCCUAAACGAAUACUGACACUGAGGUGCGAAAGCGUGGGGAGCAAACGAGGGAUUAGACUACC